ACCUAUGGGCAUAACACCCUGAACCUGAAAGCUAAGCAUGGUUGGACCUGGCCAAUACUUGGAUGGGAGCCCGCCUGGGAAUACCGGUGCUGCAGGAU
ensembl:rRNA 5S_rRNA 5S ribosomal RNA